GACAAAACCAUCCCAAACGAAACCCUACCCAAUCGCCGGUCUCUUCCCCAAUCCCAUCUCUCUCCUCCCGCCCUUCCCUCUCCCUCGUCUCUGAUGUCGCCGGGUGGCCCUGGGCGAGAGCGCUCCUUCGGCGCGAGCGGGGGCUCCGGCCUUGGGCGUGGGUGCCGCGUACGGCACGCCCCGUCUGCCCUGCUCACCGUCGCCACGGACCGGAGGAGGUCCGGCGGCGCGCCGCCAUGGGGAGCUCGUCGACCACUACCUGGAGCUUCAGAUCCCCUUGUCCGACGGCAGCAGGGACUCCCUCUUGCUCGUGCGCGCCUCCCCGUGCCGUCCUCUCUCUCGUCCCGGUCGAUCCGGCGACGCAUCGGAGGCUUCUUCUCCGAGUUGUGGCACGCACCGCAAGCGGCGCAGCAGCCGAGCGCUGCAGCCCCACUCGAGCCGCCGUCGACCUCCGUCGCGCCCUCCUACCUGGAGCGGAAUACAAGGUGCGGACGAGCUAGGAAAGACCGGGCGACACCGGCCUAGGGCCCUUCUCUCAACAAAGUUUCUUGUCCCAAUCCCAAAUGCAUCUCUAGGGAAGAAACAAAGGAAAGCAUGAUCAAUGAGACCAGCAGUUUUAGUCCGAUGAAGUUCAAGAUAAAUAACCUCAAAAACUUUAGUACCUCUAGAUGUGUACCAGCUACAUGAUACUAAUUCAUGAGACUUAAGAUCCUACACUAAUCUGCUGACAUGGCCCACAUGCGAUGGUGUGUGUGUGUCAUAAUGUAAAUUUGAAUCUUCUUUUGAAGAUAAAGUUUCUGAUUUCACUCUCUGUCUAUUUUCGUUCAGCCUUGUUUCGAGGAAAAAGAUGAAUUUCAUAUUGUUUGGUAUCUAAUAAAUUUGGGGUUAGUUGCACAUCUCUGCCGCUGCUGCUCCCCGAGGUAUUGUCCUCCAUGACUGCACAAACAAGUAGGACGUCUCUCUCACCAUUCCCCUCAUCUCAGGUGAUUUUAUUAAUCUCUGAAACUGAAAGGACGGUGCUUAUUCUUAUUAGUCUUCCUUUUCAUGGUCAACUGCCACACACUUUGGACUCCAUCGUCUCAACAAAGGUAUGUUUGUCCAUAUAUUUCUGAUGCUUUCCCUUGAUGUAUUCUCAGUUCUCUGAUUGGCUGCGGCUGCUUUCGCCAUGUUCCCUCCUCCCACACACACGCCAAAUCGCCAUGCAGAUUUGGUCUUUGGUUUGAUAAGCAAAGGUAUCAUUUGGGGAGUGACUUAUUUGGUCGUGAUUCAUCCUCAUAUUUCCCCAUAUGGUCCUUUCACAUCUUGAAUUUUGAUACGGUGGUCUUUCAGUUCUUAUUACCAUGAAUUCUAGCUAGGGCAUGCAUAACAGAAAAGCUUGUACUUACAGUUUGUUGUAGCAAUUGCGUGCUUUUGCAUAGUCUCACCAAGCAAAGAGUUGCUAACUGGAAUGUUAAGUCAAUGUUGCAACCAUUUUAGCAGCAAAUAUGUACAUGGAAAUGUUAUGCUUGGUGAAUUCAGGAGGGGCCGGCAGCAGCCUCUGCUCCCAGGAUGCCCUACUCCACAUGCAACCUACAUCUAAUUUUUCUAAAACCAAAUAAAUGCAGCCUUUGAGCGUGGAUUUCUGGAUUAAUGCAGUCAGUUGUGUUCAUCAUCUUUAUUUGGGUUCUAUCACAUACAGAGGUCUGUGUGAUUGAAUAGUUGAUUGGCUUAGACGGGGUGUGAUUGAUUAUUGAUGCCUCUUUAUCUUUUGAAAGAAGCCAUUUCUUUGGUCUUGAAAGGAUGCAAUAGUUUAUUCGGAACCUACCAAUGUGCCUCCAUGUCUACCAAUUGACAAAAGCCAGGCUAGGACAUCACUGAUCGUGUCAGGAAAUCAGUUUGGAAAUCCUCGUGUAAGGCGACCGAUGCGCGAGCGUUGCCGCAAAGAAGGUAGUCCAUAAGUACGUCGUGGCCGCUGCCAGCACGCGAUGCUGGAACCAACACGGACGUGUGGGAGCUUCAUGUGGAGGUUAUCGAUCGAGCGUGGGGAUGUCGGCUCUCCUUAGUCUUGGUCAUCGAAGCACGUCCGUCAAAUGAGCAGUCAUUUAAUUGUGCGACAGGUGGCAGAAGGAUCAGGCAUGUUGCUCACUGCCUGAUUAAUGAAGUGGUACCAUCUUAAAUACAAAAUUACAAGUGUUUGUAUGUGUGUUGACAGGCAGUUGUUCUGGCAAGAGAUGGUUGCGGAGGAAUCUAGGGGUGACUGGAAUACUGACACAACAAGCCUAGAACAACGGCUGGAAAAUCUGGCGAUCGAUGUGUACAAAAGUGCUAAAAUCAAGAUUAAUGAUCUACUUGAGUGAAGACAAAAGACCAAUUUUUUAUCUACAUGCUAAAAUCAAGCCAUCAGUAGAUCAAUAGGAAGGUGUGCACUUGAACUUUGUCAUGACUUACUUUCAGGUAGGGCUUCUCUCAUGUGCCUGGUGCCUGCCGGUUGUUUUGCUAUUCUAUAUGUUCCUACGAGAAGAGCUUCUCUUAUUUCGCUUUUUAUUGGGUGUUCCCUGCGGCCAUUGCCUUGCCCAUGCUCCAGUAAUUUUCCCAACACAACAGCUGCCUAGAACACAAAUCUGUCUCAGCAUCUCUGUAUAAAGAUACUGAACAAAUUGCAUGAUGAAGGGAGAAGAAACUCGGCACAACUUCCAGCAAAUAUGAAAAAUUAGAGAGGGAGAUAGGUACAAGUGAAGAAAAAACCUUUCGAUGUUGUCAAAAAAGGAGAGGCAGCACAUCAAGAGUGGAACUGUGGCCAUAGUCCCUGGAGCGAAUAGUGGUUGCAUUUGUCGAGAAGCCACAUGACAGAUAUGGUCACGGCUGCUGUCCUCAAGAAUACCACGGGGGCGCAUCCAGCUCCGGUUACCGGAGAUUCACUGCCGCCCUCGGAUAUUCGCCCGAGCAGCGUGGAAGCCUGUGUACCCUCAGCAUCUACUACUUCAUUCAAGAAAAAUUUGCUACUUUUUUUUAUUCAUCAUGUCGCCUCUUUUAUUUAGCAAAAACAUAUAACUACCUUCUCUUUUUAAUCUUCAUGAUCACUAUAUUGUUGUACUCCACUAUUUGUCUCCUCCUUUAUUCGAGAAAAUAUUAUCAUUUUCUUCUACUGAUCGUAUCAAUAUCUUAUUUUAUUGAUCGUAAACUAACUAUAUACACCAAGAAGUCAACACCACAGACGCAUAAAUUAUGUUGUAUCACGCUGCUUUUUCUUCCGUUUGAUGUAUGAAACACAAAACAUUACACCAUAAUUGCAAACUUAGAGUACCAAUAUGUAAUAUAUUACCCUUUAUUUUCCAAGGUUGUCUCUUUCUUGGGUCCAUAUCACCUUAAGUGUCGUGGUGGUUGAUAUAAAGGUAUUAUGGACUGUUUAACAAGCUGCAACUCAAAAUUUGAGCAUCUGCUUAAUUAGCCGCCAUGUUUUUGGUGUUUACCAUAAAGUUUUAUCACUGUGAAGCCAUGGAAAAUUACUU